GAUGAACGCUGGCGGCGUGCCUAAUACAUGCAAGUCGAGCGAACGGACGAGAAGCUUGCUUCUCUGAUGUUAGCGGCGGACGGGUGAGUAACACGUGGAUAACCUACCUAUAAGACUGGGAUAACUUCGGGAAACCGGAGCUAAUACCGGAUGAUAUUUUGAACCGCAUGGUUCAAAAGUGAAAGACGGUCUUGCUGUCACUUAUAGAUGGAUCCGCGCUGCAUUAGCUAGUUGGUAAGGUAACGGCUUACCAAGGCAACGAUGCAUAGCCGACCUGAGAGGGUGAUCGGCCACCCUGGAACUGAGACACGGUCCAGAGUCCUACGGGAGGCAGCAGUAGGGAAUCUUCCGCAAUGGGCGAAAGCCUGACGGAGCAACGCCGCGUGAGUGAUGAAGGUCUUCGGAUCGUAAAACUCUGUUAUUAGGGAAGAACAUAUGUGUAAGUAACUGUGCACAUCUUGACGGUACCUAAUCAGAAAGCCACGGCUAACUACGUG
rnacentral:rRNA from 1 species